GGUCCAGUAGCUCAGUCGGUUAGAGUGCCGCCCUGUCAAGGCGGAGGUCGCGGGUUCGAGUCCCGUCUGGACCGCCA
rnacentral:tRNA from 1 species